rnacentral:rRNA from 1 species
GACGAACGCUGGCGGCGUGCUUAACACAUGCAAGUCGAACGGAAAGGCCCUGCUUUUGUGGGGUGCUCGAGUGGCGAACGGGUGAGUAACACGUGAGUAACCUGCCCUUGACUUUGGGAUAACUUCAGGAAACUGGGGCUAAUACCGGAUAGGAGCUCCUGCUGCAUGGUGGGGGUUGGAAAGUUUCGGCGGUUGGGGAUGGACUCGCGGCUUAUCAGCUUGUUGGUGGGGUAGUGGCUUACCAAGGCUUUGACGGGUAGCCGGCCUGAGAGGGUGACCGGCCCCAUUGGGCCUGAGAUACGGCCCAGACUCCUACGGGAGGCAGCAGUGGGGAAUAUUGCACAGUGGGCGGAAGCCUGAUGCGGCAACGCCGCGUGCGGGAUGACGGCCUUCGGGUUGUAAACCGCUUUCGCCUGUGACGAAGCGUGAGUGACGGUAAUGGGUAAAGAAGCACCGGCUAACUACGUG